rnacentral:lncRNA from 1 species
GCAGGAUUUCUGUGUAGUUACAGGGAGAAACUCUCCACGGGUGCUGAGAUGUCUUUGACACCUCGCUGAGUAAGGUUGGCAGAGCUUCCUUCACAACAGCCGGAAACGGUUUCCAUUGAAAACCUUCCUCAGGCAGCAGGACAGAAAGCAGACUUGGGUGACACCUUUUGUUUCUCUGUGUUCACUUUCACCAUCACCUACUCUUCCGAGCACACAAUUUAACCCAGGACAGCAGGGAGACAGCACCCCAGGCCGAGUGAAGGGGAGGACCGCACAGGCAAACGCUGGCCUGGCGAGGCACCAGAGGCUGUAGAGGAAAGCGCCUCCCACCUGUGAGAUGCCAACAAGAUACCCAGGGUCUGAAGAGUCUUAAAAGAAAAGCAAGGAGCGGGGGUAUGAUAUCCGACCAAAGAGCAAACGCCCGAGCCACUUGGCACUGCACUCUAACUGGGAGGCUGAGCACACAAAUUAGAUGUUUGUAAGAAUAAACAGUCAUUAGAACUCGAGAACUAGAGGAGAAAUAAACAUCAUUUCAAGAUAUUUGACUAAUUUGGCUCUGAGCUCUGCCUGCCUGUGAAUGUGCUGGUUUCUGGCUUGCGGGGAUGCCUGUGUAUCUGUGCAUGCUUCUUGUUAGCCCUCUUGGUUACGUGUCCUUACUGAGUGCCAAAGUCUCCUCUGUAAAAUGGGGAUAACAGCAACACCCAACUCAAGGGUGUUGGGAGAGUGGAACAAGGAAAUACACACAAAUUGAUUAAAACAGAGCCUGGCACCUAUAGUAAGUGCUCAAGAAAUGUGAGCAAUACUCUACAUUUGCUCACAUAUUCAUUCGUUCAGCAAAUAUGCAGAGGGUCCCAGCCAGGGGAGGCCCUGUUCCUAGUGUUAGGGAUCAAAAGACAGUGAGAUUCCUCGUGCCAGCUGAUGCCAGGCACACGGUGGGCGCCCAGGAACAGAUUUUUGAAGAAUGAAUGUAUGGGGCAUGGACUUUGCCUUCAAGAGCUGUGGCCUGGGGAGGAGACAGACUUGUAAAUAAAUCACUGCAAACACUGUCAUGAUAAAUGCAAAGCAGUUCCAGCUAUAAAUUUCACCUAAAGUACAGUAAAAGGACCGGCCCUGAUGGUGGAAUUUCAGAGACAGAGGCCAAGGCAGGGAACAGUGCUGCGGGAAUGAGGCCCUCUUAGAUGCUUUGAAAUUGUACCAGGAAGACCACAGCCCCUGAACCCAGUUCAGAGUGGAGACAGCAGGGCAGGGAAGCCCUCACACCGUGGAUGAUGACAGGUACACACUUUGGAGGACUCAGGCCACUGGGCUGGAUGACCCUGGCCAUCCCCCUGCCUCAGGGCCCAUGGCCC